AGGCUGGGCAUUCAACCGACCUCACCCAAAAACCAGGUGGGGUGCCCUGCAUCCGAUUGAACCCAACCCAACAGAGCUUGACCUGCCUCCGGGGUUCCUCCGCCGCCGUCGUCGAUGGCCGACCUAGCGGUGCUCACGGACGACGUCCUAGCGGAGAUCCUCCUUCGCGUACCUUCGCCGCGGGACCUUGCGCGCGCCUCCGCGUCGUGCGCCUCCUUCCGGCGGGUCGCCUCCUCCUCGUGCUUCCUCCGCCGCUUCCGCCCCCUCCACGCGCCGCCCCCGCUCGGCGUCUUCUGCUGCUACCCUGCCGGCCGUGGCGGCACGGCAGGAUCCCAGUUCCACGCAGCCCUGUCGCCUCACCCCUCGGCGCCCCUCGCCCGCGCGGUCGCCAGUUCAGCCGACUUCUCCUUCGCCUUCCUCCCGCCGCCCGCCGACGACUGGCUCGUCCGCGACAGCCGUGACGGCCGCUUCCUCCUGGACCGCACGCGGGAUGGCUCCACCGCCUUCACCGAGGUUGCCAUAUGCGACCCUCUGUUCCGGAGGUACCGUCUGCUCCCGCCCAUCCCCGACUACCUCGCCGCCUCCGUGGGAAAUCCCUACGUCCAGCGCGGCGGGGAUGGUGAGUCGCAAUCACGAAGCAACGAAAUAUUCCUGGCUUCUCGUAGUCAUGACAGUGUCAAUGAGGAGGACCCGGCGUUCACUGUGAUUUGGAUGGCAUGCUGUCGAGGGAAGCUGGUCGCGUUCUUCUACUCGUCAGAGUCACAGCAAUGGUGUGUGCUUUCACCUCCAGAACACUACGCUCUGAGCACCAGAAGAGUCAUGGGCGUUCGUCUAGGACAGCGCAACCAUGCUCAUGGUUGUUUCUACUGGAAGGUAGCCCUCACGCAUAGGUGGCUUGUGUUGGACACCUGCAAAAUGGAGUUCUCUGUCAUAGACAUCUCGCUUGUCCUGUCAGGCUGUGUGAUGAUGUUCAGUAAUCAAAUUACCACUCUGGAGUCAAGUGAUGGCAGGACUACUGUUGUGGUCUCUGAUGUUUUCCGAUCAGAUAAAAGAUGUGUGCUGUACUUUUAUGCAUUCAUGUAUUUCAGGGACUCGUGGCAGCUUCUGAACAGAGUGACCUUGCCUGAGGAAUGGGGGUAUCGAUUUAGAGGCAUUAUAGGUUCUGCUGAGGGAUACUUAUUUAUAAAACUAGAUCACCCUAAGGAGAACCUGAAUGAUCAGAGCGAGCGACAUGUGGAAUAUUUUUCACUUGAUGUCAAGACCAUGCAGCUUGGGAGUUUCUGUCGGACAACCCUUACUGUCAGCGAAGCCUACCUGUAUUGUGGUUUUCCUCCAUCGCUAUUGCUUCCUUCUAUAUGAUUAGGUAUGUUAUGCUCUGAAGUCCUAACUUACAAGCGCCAUUUAUGCAGCUUUUGUGAUGAGUCAUAUAAGAUACUGUUUGGUAGUAUGCUUAUGUCGUUUAAAUGGUUGUUCUUUUAUCACUUAUCAGAAGCAAAAUAUAUAUAUUCUUUGAGGCCUUGCAUCACUACACUUUUUUCUGAAACUGAUCCUACCCAGUUAUUAUUUGAUAGUAUUCCAACAAUUUUACUACUUUUACAUCUAUGUUCCAAUGAUUGUUCUUGUCUAUUAAUAGUAUGGAAUAAACAAUUGUACUUGGAGCUGGAGGCUUGCCUAUAUUUAUACAAGUUCUUUUUUUUUUCUUUUUUCCUUGUUGGCCACUUCUCAUGUUAGGUUUCAUCUCUAGCCGACCAGGCAACCACAACUUGCUUGGGACUAAAAUGGAUUCUUUGGUAUUUUUCCAUCACCAUACUCUUAGUUGAGAUACAAUGAACAAACAAAAAGGAAGAUAAAGGAGCAUAACAUCCUAUCAAUUGCAAAUGAUUAAGAUAUCAUGUGAAACUUUUUUUUUUGAUACACUGGAGUGGCAGCUGGUGCACAUACGGUUUCAAUUCACAGCUCACUUGUCUCAUUUGAGAAAAGGUUUUCAAAUAGGACUACUUAACCAUGGAAUUCAUAUACCACAGGUGGCCGGGGCUGUGUAUGGCAACAACCCAGGAGGAUAGAGAUAUGGUGGAGAUCAAUUGGUUGAGAUUGUUAGGGCCAGACUAAGCUCCAUAUUAAUAGCAUUUAGCUGCUGUUUGAACUAAACAAUCUAUCUAGUCUCCCUGUUUCCAUCUAUCAUGCCUUUGUUGGUAAGGUAGCUGACAACUGUGCCUAGGCCUCCCAUGGCAAUAUACCCACAAACAGACCUGCUUAAAAAGCAUUCCUUUUAGCAUAUCCUAGAUCUAUAUGCUACCCUUAUUUAUUUCAAGAGCAGCAAAGACAAAGUGAUUGAGGGAAUAAACCCCUUAAAAACUUAAUGUAUGUGAGAGCUUAGAAACCUUUAGUAAUUAUGAACCAUUGACUAACCUGAAGCAUCCCACUCUCCCUUUUACCAUGAGGAAAUUCUUAUUUAUUUUUUCAAAGGUGAACUUAUCAGUAUGAAUCUUUGUAAUACCAAAAUCUACCAGGGGAUAACUUGGUUUAGCAACAUAGUGUACAACUGAAACAUCACAUUGUGGAGGUACCGUGCAAAAGUCACUUCAGUUUCAAUUUAAGGAUUCCAAGCAUCCUGUAUUCAUGAUGUCAUCAUUGUGUUCUCAAUGAAACCACUCUUUACACUUGCAUUUGCCAUCAGUUUUAAGAUAAUCUCAAUAUUUCAGAAGUCAACCCCAUUAAAACAAAGCUUGCGGCAGUUGCAAAGGUUUUGACGGCUCAAUUUGGCUCAAUUUUUGUGUGACCUCACAUUUUUUUUUUUGAAAGCUAUGACCUCACAAUUUGCUGCAAAGCUAUUGAUGGCACCACUAUUUUGAAGAUUUAGCACACCUUUCUAUAAUCUAUAUAUGCAAAACUUGCUUAGAUGCUUUUCGUUUGUAUAUAUAGAUAGAUCAAUAGCUUUUUGUGCCAUUUGAAGUGUUCGCUGUAAAACCAUCUGAUGCCCUUGCUUACCUAAAUGAGUUAUCAUUUAUGAACUACAGAGGUGAUAAAUGUGGAUAUUCUUGAUCUUGCUAAUUUCCUUGGCCUUGAAUUUUGGUGAGCAGGAUUACUGUGAUAGAUGAGUGCCAAUGACAGUGCCAUUCCUGUCUUCUCUGCGAGGACUUCGAGUGAAGGAAAAAAAAGAUCAUUGCGAUCCUUGAGAAAUGCAGGAGUGCUGUUGAUCCUUGUGAUUAAUUUCACUAUCUCAACGGGGGGAUCUACUACAAAAUCUAUUAGGCUGGCCCUCUUGUAUUUCAUAUUGUGGAUCAGAGGCUCACAGUAUCAGACUGGUGACGAAUAUUGAUAUGAUGGAGCAGUGAAGCAAACUGGGUUGAGCUUUAUAUGGUGUUGUUCCUCGGUGGCCAUUAUGGCACUACAAGAUGUUUAGUUUGUGAACUUCACUGCAAUAGGUUUUCCUUUGUUUCAAGAAACUACUUGUUAGAGCUGUAGCAACAGAAUCGUUCCCUUGAAAACAUGUAAGCAUUUACUGUUAACCUCUCUGUAACCUGGUAAACCCAACAACACUAUUUCUUUGCUUUCAUAAUGUGUCACCGCUGUUUUGCUAAA